rnacentral:rRNA from 1 species
GGUUGAUCCUGCCAGUAGUCAUAUGCUUGUCUCAAAGAUUAAGCCAUGCAUGUCUAAGUAUAAACAAAUUUUUACUGUGAAACUGCGAAUGGCUCAUUAAAUCAGUUAUAGUUUAUUUGAUGGUACCUUGCUACAUGGAUAACUGUGGUAAUUCUAGAGCUAAUACAUGCUUAAAAGCCCCAACUUCUGGAAGGGGUGUAUUUAUUAGAUAAAAAACCAACGUGGGAAACCACUCCUUUGGUGAUUCAUAAUAACUUCUCGAAUCGCAUGGCCUUGUGCC